rnacentral:rRNA from 1 species
UACGUAGGUGGCAAGCGUUAUCCGGAAUUAUUGGGCGUAAAGAGCGCGCAGGUGGUUGAUUAAGUCUGAUGUGAAAGCCCACGGCUUAACCGUGGAGGGUCAUUGGAAACUGGUCGACUUGAGUGCAGAAGAGGGAAGUGGAAUUCCAUGUGUAGCGGUGAGAUGCGUAGAGAUAUGGAGGAACACCAGUGGCGAAGGCGGCUUCCUGGUCUGUAACUGACACUGAGGCGCGAAAGCGUGGGGAGCAAACAGG